UGGUUUGAUUCUGGCUCAGGAUGAACGCUGGCGGCAUGCCUAAUACAUGCAAGUCGAACGGAGUGAAGCCUUCGGGUUUCAUUCAGUGGCGAACGGGUGAGUAAUACGCAGGGAACCUGGCCAUGGCAGGGGGAUACACUCUGGAAACGGAGCAUAAGACCCCAUAGGCAGUAAGGCGGCAUCGCCUUACUGUUAAAGAAAGCUGAAAGGCUUUGGCGAUGGAUGGACCUGCGGUGCAUUAGCUUGUUGGUGAGGCAACGGCUUACCAAGGCGAUGAUGCAUAGCCGGCCUGAGAGGGCGGACGGCCACACUGGGACUGAGACACGGCCCAGACUCCUGCGGGAGGCAGCAGUAGGGAAUUUUCGUCAAUGGGCGCAAGCCUGAACGAGCAAUGCCGCGUGAGUGAGGAAGGUCUUCGGACUGUAAAGCUCUGUUGCCGGGGAAAAAGGGGAAAUGCAGGAAAUAGCAUUUCAUGGAUGGUACCCGGCCAGAAAGCCACGGCUAACUACGUGCCAGCAGCCGCGGUAAUACGUAGGUGGCGAGCGUUAUCCGGAAUGAUUGGGCGUAAAGGGUGCGCAGGCGGUCUGUUAAGUCUGAAGGCAAAGGGAUGAGCUCAACUCAUUUAUGAUUCAGAAACUGGCAGACUUGAGGACAGGAGAGGGCGGUGGAACUCCAUGUGUAGCGGUAAAAUGCGCAGAGAUAUGGAAGAACACCAGUGGCGAAGGCGGCCGCCUGGCCUGUGACUGACGCUGAGGCACGAAAGCGUGGGGAGCAAAUAGGAUUAGAUACCCUAGUAGUCCACGCCGUAAACGAUGAGGAGCAGGUGUUGGGAGUGAAAUCUCAGUGCCGAAGCCAACGCAGUGACUCCUCCGCCUGGGGAGUAUGCACGCAAGUGUGAAACUCAAAGGAAUUGACGGGGGCCCGCACAAGCGGUGGAGUAUGUGGUUUAAUUCGAAGCAACGCGAAGAACCUUACCAGGUUUUGACAUCGGAUGCGAAGGCGCAGAGAUGCGCUGGAGGCUAUCAUCCAGACAGGUGGUGCAUGGUUGUCGUCAGCUCGUGUCGUGAGAUGUUCAGUUAAGUCUGGCAACGAGCGCAACCCCCGUGGUAUGUUACUAACGCUUUAGGGCGAGGACUCAUAUCAGACUGCCGGUGACAAACCGGAGGAAGGCGGGGAUGACGUCAAAUCAUCAUGCCCCUUAUGACCUGGGCUACACACGUACUACAAUGGCGUCUACAGAGGGAAGCGACCCUGAGAAGGGAAGCGAAACCGGAAAAGGGCGUCCCAGUUCGGAUUGAAGUCUGCAACCCGACUUCAUGAAGAUGGAAUCGCUAGUAAUCGCGGAUCAGCAUGCCGCGGUGAAUACGUUCCCGGGCCUUGUACACACCGCCCGUCAAACCAUGGAAGCCGGCAACGCCCGAAGCCGGUGGCAUAACCUUUUAGGAGUGAGCCGUCGAAGGCGGGGCCGAUGACUGGGGUUAAGUCGUAACAAGGUACCC
rnacentral:rRNA from 1 species